CGAGGAGCGGCUUUGCGUGUGUGCGCGGGGAUUGGCAGCACAACGAGGCUUAUUUACAUUAAAUACGCCACAAGGUUACAGCGCAGAUAGAUGAGCGUCAUUUUUAGCACUCGUUACUCGUGUUAAGCGGCGCUCAGGACGCAGAGCAGGAAACACUCGUUUAUCCCGGACUUUCUGCGGCGAGGAGCGGAGGAGAGGACCGCGCGGCUCACCCAAGGCUCUUGUCGUCCCACCUUCUGUGAAGCUGUCGGCGCUCUUCCUGACACCCGGCGCUCGCUGGAGAGGCGGCAGUCACGCAGUUCCUGCUACAGCCGCUGGCGGCGGCUCGACUGAAACUCGAGGAACGUCUCCCACCGUCCUCUUCGAUAUUUGUGUAUGUGAGGCA
ensembl:lncRNA